rnacentral:rRNA from 1 species
AACGAACGCUGGCGGCAUGCCUAACACAUGCAAGUCGAACGAGACCUUCGGGUCUAGUGGCGCACGGGUGCGUAACGCGUGGGAACCUGCCCUUAGGUUCGGAAUACCUCCCCGAAAGGGGUGCUAAUACCGGAUAAUGUCUUCGGACCAAAGAUUUAUCGCCUUUGGAUGGGCCCGCGUUGGAUUAGCUAGUUGGUAGGGUAAAAGCCUACCAAGGCGACGAUCCAUAGCUGGUCUGAGAGGAUGAUCAGCCACACUGGGACUGAGACACGGCCCAGACUACUACGGGAGGCAGGAGUGGGGAAUAUUGGACAAUGGGCGAAAGCCUGAUCCAGCAAUGCCGCGUGAGUGAUGAAGGCGUUAGGGUAGUAAAGCUCUUUUAUCCGGGAUGAUAAUGACAGUACCGGGAGAAUAAGCUCCGGCUAACUCCGUG